rnacentral:tRNA from 1 species
GCGCCGGUGGUGAAAGGCGAACAUCGCUGCCCGGAAAGGCAGAAGAUGCGGGUUCGAGUCCCGCCUGGCGCA